rnacentral:tRNA from 1 species
CGAGAGCGUUAGACUGAAGAUCUAAAGGUCCCUGGUUCAACCCCGGGCUUCAGCU